rnacentral:rRNA from 1 species
AUGAACGCUAGCUACAGGCUUAACACAUGCAAGUCGAGGGGCAGCAUGAACUUAGCUUGCUAAGUUUGAUGGCGACCGGCGCACGGGUGAGUAACACGUAUCCAACCUGCCGAUGACUCGGGGAUAGCCUUUCGAAAGAAAGAUUAAUACCCGAUGGCAUAGUUCUUCCGCAUGGUAGAACUAUUAAAGAAUUUCGGUCAUCGAUGGGGAUGCGUUCCAUUAGGUUGUUGGCGGGGUAACGGCCCACCAAGCCUUCGAUGGAUAGGGGUUCUGAGAGGAAGGUCCCCCACAUUGGAACUGAGACACGGUCCAAACUCCUACGGGAGGCAGCAGUGAGGAAUAUUGGUCAAUGGACGAGAGUCUGAACCAGCCAAGUAGCGUGAAGGAUGACUGCCCUAUGGGUUGUAAACUUCUUUUAUACGGGAAUAAAGUGAGGCACGUGUGCCUUUUUGUAUGUACCGUAUGAAUAAGGAUCGGCUAACUCCGUGCCAGCAGCCGCGGUAAUACGGAGGAUCCGAGCGUUAUCCGGAUUUAUUGGGUUUAAAGGGAGCGUAGGCGGACGCUUAAGUCAGUUGUGAAAGUUUGCGGCUCAACCGUAAAAUUGCAGUUGAUACUGGGUGUCUUGAGUACAGUAGAGGCAGGCGGAAUUCGUGGUGUAGCGGUGAAAUGCUUAGAUAUCACGAAGAACUCCGAUUGCGAAGGCAGCCUGCUGGACUGUAACUGACGCUGAUGCUCGAAAGUGUGGGUAUCAAACAGGAUUAGAUACCCUGGUAGUCCACACAGUAAACGAUGAAUACUCGCUGUUUGCGAUAUACAGUAAGCGGCCAAGCGAAAGCGAUAAGUAUUCCACCUGGGGAGUACGCCGGCAACGGUGAAACUCAAAGGAAUUGACGGGGGCCCGCACAAGCGGAGGAACAUGUGGUUUAAUUCGAUGAUACGCGAGGAACCUUACCCGGGCUUGAAUUGCAACUGAAUGAUGUGGAGACAUGUCAGCCGCAAGGCAGUUGUGAAGGUGCUGCAUGGUUGUCGUCAGCUCGUGUCGUGAGAUGUUGGGUUAAGUCCCGCAACGAGCGCAACCCUUAUCCUUUGUUGCCAGCGGUCCGGCCGGGAACUCAAAGGAGACUGCCAGUGAUAAACUGGAGGAAGGUGGGGAUGACGUCAAAUCAGCACGGCCCUUACGUCCGGGGCUACACACGUGUUACAAUGGGGGGUACAGAAGGCAGCUACACGGCGACGUGAUGCUAAUCCCUAAAGCCUCUCUCAGUUCGGAUUGGAGUCUGCAACCCGACUCCAUGAAGCUGGAUUCGCUAGUAAUCGCGCAUCAGCCACGGCGCGGUGAAUACGUUCCCGGGCCUUGUACACACCGCCCGUCACACCAUGGGAGUUGGGAGUGCCCAAAGCCGGUGAGGCAACCGCAAGGAGCCAGCCGUCUAAGGCAAGACCAAUGACUGGGGUG